rnacentral:rRNA from 1 species
GUAAUAUAUCGGAACGUACCUUCAGGUGGGGGAUAACGUAGCGAAAGUUACGCUAAUACCGCAUAUUCUGUGAGCAGGAAAGCAGGGGAUCGCAAGACCUUGCGCUGAUUGAGCGGCCGAUAUCAGAUUAGCUAGUUGGUGAGGUAAAGGCUCACCAAGGCGACGAUCUGUAGCGGGUCUGAGAGGAUGAUCCGCCACACUGGAACUGAGACACGGUCCAGACUCCUACGGGAGGCAGCAGUGGGGAAUUUUUGGACAAUGGGCGCAAGCCUGAUCCAGCCAUGCCGCGUGAGUGAAGAAGGCCUUCGGGUUGUAAAGCUCUUUCGGCCGGGAAGAAAUCGCACAGGUUAAUACCCUGUGUGGAUGACGGUACCGGAAUAAGAAGCACCGGCUAACUACGUG